UACGGGGGGGGCAAGCGUUGUUCGGAAUUACUGGGCGUAAAGGGCUCGUAGGCGGCCAACUAAGUCAGACGUGAAAUCCCUCGGCUUAGCCGGGGAACUGCGUCUGAUACUGGAUGGCUUGAGUUCGGGAGAGGGAUGCGGAAUUCCAGGUGUAGCGGUGAAAUGCGUAGAUAUCAGGAGGAACACCGGUGGCGAAGGCGGGUCUCUGGGCCGAUACUGACGCUGAGGAGCGAAAGCAUGGGUAGCGAACAGG
rnacentral:rRNA from 1 species